rnacentral:snRNA from 1 species
AAUUGAUGAGGUGGCAACUAAG